rnacentral:rRNA from 1 species
GACGAACGCUGGCGGUGUGCUUAACACAUGCAAGUCGAACGGUAAGGCCCUUUCGGGGGUCCACGAGUGGCGAACGGGUGAGUAACACGUGAGUAACCUGCCCUCAUCUCUGGGAUAACAGUCGGAAACGGUUGCUAAUACUGGAUAUGAGCUUGCAAGGCAUCUUGUGGGUUGGAAAGAUUUUUUUGGUUGGGGAUGGACUCGCGGCCUAUCAGCUUGUUGGUGAGGUAGUGGCUCACCAAGGCUUCGACGGGUAGCCGGCCUGAGAGGGCGACCGGCCACAUUGGGACUGAGAUACGGCCCAAACUCCUACGGGAGGCAGCAGUGGGGAAUAUUGCACAAUGGACGGAAGUCUGAUGCAGCAACGCCGCGUGCGGGAUGACGGCCUUCGGGUUGGAAACCGCUUUCAAUUGUGACGAAGCUUUUUGUGACGGUAGCAGUAGAAGAAGCACCGGCUAACUACGUG